UCCUCCAUGAUAUUAUUAUAUAACGCCUGAAUAGAUACUUGUCAUUUGAUUGGUGGUUUGUAUGUCACGUAACAUGGAUUAUUUGUACCAUUUGCCAU